rnacentral:rRNA from 1 species
UGGGGAAUAUUGGGCAAUGGGCGAAAGCCUGACCCAGCAACGCCGCGUGAAGGAAGAAGGCUUUCGGGUUGUAAACUUCUUUUGACAGGGAAGAGCAGAAGACGGUACCUGUCGAAUAAGCCACGGCUAACUACGUGCCAGCAGCCGCGGUAAUACGUAGGUGGCAAGCGUUGUCCGGAUUUACUGGGUGUAAAGGGCGUGUAGCCGGGUUGACAAGUCAGAUGUGAAAUCCGGGGGCUUAACCCCCGAACUGCAUUUGAAACUGUUGAUCUUGAGUAUCGGAGAGGCAGGCGGAAUUCCUAG